AUUUAUCUUCACAUCACAGAUGGAGCUUCUUCCUGCUGUUAUUUGUGAGCUAGUGUGAGCUGUUAUCAGACUUUGAACAGAUAAACUGUUCUUCUGCAUUCUGAGAGUGCCGUUAUUUGUUGUCGGUACGAAUUGAUGAGAUGAGGCUGGAAUAAUCGCUUGCACGGAGCACAAACAACGAUCUGGCACAAGACGGCACACGAGAGGGGACUAAAAUAGGAGAGUAAAGGAUUAAUUGAUACUGAACAGGUGAAGGGAGUGAAACAUUAAUGAGGUAAGGAAUGGAAUAACACGGGGUGGGAUAAGAUGCCACGAUUACAGCGGAGAACAUGGUGUACUGUCAAUCCGAACCCAUGUGCUCCAAACAAACACAAGACAGAGACAAGGAAAAAUGGACAGAUCAGCCCAGGGACAUGACAGGACCAGGCCAAGGCUUCUUCACUCCUCCUCUAGAUGCUACGACACCGGCGGACGAAGGCUAUGGCAGAUGGAACAGCGGCAUCAAGCUCCUGAGAGAUGAAUGAAGGAGGUUGAAACGCAAUGGAACAUUGGAAUAGGGGUAUACCUGUGGCAGCCACCAUACAAGAUGUUGUGGGUGUAUUCAAUCAAGGAUAACUGUUGACUCCAAGAGCUUGGAUUCUGGAACGUCAGGCAGCGGAGAGCUUGUUCCAGAUCCUGAUUUGCCUGCUCGGACUGCCCAUUGGGAGAUGGUCCUCACUGCAGAACACGGAAUCCAGGGGGCGAUGUUGGAUCCAGAUCCAACUCCUCCAACUUUACAUAUUCCUAAAUCUACCCGUCUCCACCUCCUGGAUCUGGAUCCUGGAUCUCAUGUUCUGCAGUGAGGGGUUACUGCCUAUUGGUCUGAGGGGGGUGAAAACCUGAUGACAGACUCCUUCCAGAAACGGGGAAUGAACGGUGGCCCCUAUCGAAGACCACAUCUACUGGAAGACUAUGAAUCCGGAAGAUGUGAUCAACCACCACUUGAGCAGUCUCCUUGGCUGAGGGUAAUAUGGGACGGGGAAUGAAAUGGGCUGUCUUUGAAGAAGCGGUCCACCACCGUCAGUACCACAGUGUUACCUCGAUGGAGGAAUGCCAGAUGGCGGCCAGUAGGGGUGUGACGAGACAACUCACGAAACAAGACGAGACACGAGAUUGAGUUCACGAGUCGAGAUGAGAUUUUUAGACAGUGUUUUUAAGAAAUCCUCAAUGACAAAAUACAUGACUAGAAAAAUAGUCUGCAUGUGCAUUUGAAAUGUUGUAACUUGCAUGCAUCAGUGAGCCGCUUUCAAAAUGCGAGGUAUUGAAACUCGCGUUUUACUUUCGAUUUCGCGAUUGCGCAUACUCUGUGAAAAGGGAGCGGUGGUGCUGAGCCCGCAUUCUACAAGAUCAGACAUUUGUCAGACGCUUAGGCUCUGUUGUGCAAUGAAUCCUCCGCCAUGGUCUUGUCAGUCAUCUCGUCACUUACCCUCGUCACGUGAUUAGUGAAUCUAGUGAGUCCUGUUGCACUAUGUCCGACUCUUGUCGGAUGAGCUGGAUGGAAUUGAAGCAACCGUUAUCCAACUGAAUUAAAUGUUUUUUAUUUCUAUAAAAAGCAAAAUGACAGUGGAGGCGUAAUGUAAAAGUAGCGGUGGCAUAUUCUGUCCUAAAUUCACCCUCACACUCCGACAUGGCACUAUCGCGAGACAGCUUUUUACCUUGACGUGAAAUCUUGUCACAUUUUAAUCUUGCGAGAUCUCGUGGCAUGAGAUCUCGUCACAUCCCUAGCGGCCAGUGAUCUCAGAAUAUCUUGAAUAUCCAGUCGGCACAAAUAACCUAGCCUCCGGACACCCCCUCGGAACUUCUCUCUCUCGUAUGGCCUCCUCUACUCAUCUCUGGACACCCUAGGAGAGGGACUCUACCACCGUCUCCCUGGGGACGAUAGUAUCGCGAUAGUAUACCCACCCUCCCCCAGAAAUCCCAAACAGAUGGGAGGUGGCAUCGGGUUUAAACAUUUCUAGAGCCUGGAUGAGAGAGUGAAGUUGAACUGGCCGAAAAACAGUGCCCAUCGGGCAAGGCGUGAGCUCAACCUCUUGGCUGAACUUAUUUUUAAUAGUAAUGUCAUUCAAACCUCUAUAAUCAAUACAAGGAUGCAAGGAGCCAGGGGUGGAGGAAACCAGAAUCUAGAGAUUCUCAAAUAUACUUGUCCAUAGGCUCUCUUUCUGGAUCAGACAGGGAAUAUAGGCAACCCUUAGGCGGAGAAGCUCCUGGGAGGAGAUUGAUGGCACAAUCAUAAGGCCGGUUAGGUGGCAAGGACAUGGCUCGGGACUUGCUGAAGACCUGCCAAAGAUUGUGGGAAACACAGAGCCAGGAAAAGAGGCAGCACCCAAUCGAGACGCAAGACAGGACUGGUUCCAUGACCACAGAAUUCCCGGCCCAAUCCACAUGAGGACCUUGUGGCACCAGCCAGGGGUGCCCCAGGACCACUGGAGCACUCGGGGAAUCCAGAAGAAAAAAAACUUUUCAACAUGGUACAAUAGAAAUACCAUGCUUUUACAUCAUAACAUUUACCAUGUUGGGACAAUGCAAUUCUUUGAAGUACCCUGGAGUACCAUGAAAAUACCAUGGCUGCUAAAUAACCUGGCCUGAUGUUGCACAUAUGGAUGAACGCAGACACCAGCUAGAGGACGACAUAA